AACGAACGCUGGCGGCAGGCUUAACACAUGCAAGUCGAGCGCCCCGCAAGGGGAGCGGCAGACGGGUGAGUAACGCGUGGGAAUCUACCCAUCUCUACGGAAUAACGCGUGGAAACGUGUGCUAAUACCGUAUACGUCCUUCGGGAGAAAGACUUAUCGGAGAUGGAUGAGCCCGCGUUGGAUUAGCUAGUUGGUGGGGUAAAGGCCUACCAAGGCGACGAUCCAUAGCUGGUUUGAGAGGAUGAUCAGCCACACUGGGACUGAGACACGGCCCAGACUCCUACGGGAGGCAGCAGUGGGGAAUAUUGGACAAUGGGCGCAAGCCUGAUCCAGCCAUGCCGCGUGAGUGAUGAAGGCCCUAGGGUUGUAAAGCUCUUUCACCGGUGAAGAUAAUGACGGUAACCGGAGAAGAAGCCCCGGCUAACUUCGUGCCAGCCGCCGCGGUAAUAC
rnacentral:rRNA from 1 species